rnacentral:lncRNA from 1 species
ACACACAAGUUUCUACUCAAUGUUCUAAGAGAACAAAUCAAAGAAUCUCAAUGGGCAAAUCCAAGCAAACAAGGGAAUUUCUGAAGAUAGAAAGAUAAGAGAUUUUUUUUUUUUUUUUUUGAAAUCCGUUUUAACCACCUCAAAGGCUGGAUUUCUCCUCAGCCAGCAGGCUUUCUCUUCCACCACCAAUCCACAAAAGAAACUUUGAACUUUUUCUAUAUUUUUUUUUCUUUUUUGAAUCAAAUCGUAAAUCUUUUUUUUAUAUGGAUGGUAAUGAGGGGCCCAGAUUUAAGAAAGGUAGAAGAAGAAGUGUUUAUAAGAAAAUAGAAGAUGGGAAAGAUGAAUGAAAUAGACAAUACCGGAAGAGUGGCUCUGAUACCACUU